rnacentral:sRNA from 1 species
AGUAAUGAACGGAAGCUAAAUCGAGCCUUUUGGGAAAGCAGCACAGUUUACUUGGUAUUUUCUGUUCAAGGAUCUGGACAUUUCCAGGGAUUUUCUAGGAUGUCUUCUGAGAUUGGAAGGGAAAAGAGUCAGGACUGGGGCUCUGCUGGACUAGGAGGAGUAUUUAAGGUGGAGUGGAUACGAAAAGAAAGCCUUCCCUUUCAAUUUGCACACCAUUUACUCAAUCCAUGGAAUGACAACAAGAAAGUGCAGAUAAGCAGGGAUGGGCAGGUAUACAAUGGCAUUUUUUUUUUUUUUACUUUUGUUUCUGUUAUCCAGUGCUUUAAUUGAGGAGAAAAUGUAAGAGUACAAAUUUUAUAUUCCAUAUGCACAUGGGAAACAGGGGUUCAGGUUUGUAAAAAGAUAGUAAAAACCUACUUGUAAAUGUGUCUGAUUGCUCCUUGCAGUCAGAGUCUCAAGAUGACAAUAGUAUUUAACUUCUCUUUGGCUUUAAUUAUGUAAAGUAAAUAACCUUUUUAUAUUCUAGUGGCUUGUUUAUUUCUAUUAUGUUUUGCUUUGUCUUCAUGAUGCUACUUACAUGCAUUUUAAGCUAGUUAAGAUGAUGGAAAUUAAUGUAUAUUGACCAAAUACUAUGCUAGCUGCUUUAGAAGAUAUAAUUUAUUUCUUAUGAUUAAAGUAUUA